CACUAUGAGCCCUGCUUAGUUGAUUCUCUGGGUUUGCAGUGAAGGAUUCUUAACAGCAGUCACCACAGUGAAAAUAUAUAUGUGGCCACAGAAGUGUGUGGUGAAACCCCGAGUUAAACAAAGGAGGCUGGGAUGCAGAUGGAAGAGGCCCUUGUGCCUGGGACACAUUCACUCAUCAGGGAGGUUUCAUCAACCAGAAAGGC